GUUUCGUCAGUUGGACAGGAUGUUUGGGUUUCAAAGUUCAUCCUGUGUCUGCCUCUAAAAAACAUACAUUUGUCAACACGUCAACACAAGUGCAUGACAAUGUCAAGGUAGGUUUGUUAUCAGAUUACAACCAUGUAUGUAGCUACACUCAUUGUUAAACGGAGCUAAAGUAAGACGUUUUAUAUCUUUAAGUACCUACCAUGAUACCGCCACAGACCAGGCAUGCAGCUAUUCCUGUAAAUCCACCAUGGCUACUCCCACCUCCAGAGGUUGAUCUACUAGUGUUGGAGAGACUACGGAAAGAUAGGGAGGGUGUUAAUCCAUCUGGAUACUGUGUAUCAGGAUUUUGUGGCCAUUUACACAGAUGGUUUCAAAGAUCCAAGAACACGACAUACUGGGUCAGCAUUUGUAGUGCAGGAACGUAUUACAGAUCAUCUGGCUGUAUAUACGGCUGAGCUGAUGGCCAUACUGUUGGCCUUGCAGUGGGUGGCGGAAGUCAAGCCAGACAGAGUAGUUAUUUGCUGUGAUUGAUGUGAGGUGUUGAUGAGUCAGCAGUCCUUUAGCUCAUGUAGCAGACAAUACCUGCUUUAUGAGGUACUACAAACUCAUGGCACUAUUAGACAGAUGGGUAUACAUAUCAGAUUCACUUGGGUCCCAGUCCAUGUGGGGGUGUAGGGGAAUGAGGCAGUUGAUGUUGUGGCUAAACAAGCACUUAGUAGUUGGGAUGUUAUAGUUUCAAUGAGCAAGGCAGAAGCAAAAAGCCUGAUAUUGACAGUGAUGGUGCCACGAUGGCAGGAGCAGUGGAAUAGAGCUAUGAAGGACAGGGAUUUAUUUCAAGUACAGAGGAAAGUCUGGGACGGGAGGACAGCAUGAAGGGGCAGAAGAGAGAUGGCUAUUUUUACAAGGUUAAGUGUGGGACACAACCGGUUGAAUAAGACUUUAAAAGGGAUAGGAAAACACCCAACAGGAAAGUGUGAUUAUUGCCAGGAAACAGACCAUGGAGCAUGCAUUGCUACAGUAUGGCAGUAUCAGAAGGAAAAGGAGAGGAUGAGAGCUAGUAUGAGGGAGAAGGAGAUACAGGAAAUUAGUUUUAAAAGUAUAUUGAGUAGAACUUCAUUGGUUAUAGUCUCAAAUAUUUUAUAUAUUUUUUAAGAUGAACGGGGCUGGCAGGAUUUAGUUUCUCCCUGUCUCUGGACCACACUCCAGUACAGUCGGUGGCGGUAAUGCAUCAUGACGAUGAAUUGUGAACCGAAGAUAAAGCUUACCGAAGAAGAAGCCCAGGCACGCGCAAAAAGUGGCGCACCAAGUUCUCGCAUCGAUUUUUCUACAUAGUAUGCUGUCGCCACUCUCUUGCGGUAAUUGUUCUACACAUUUUUAAAAGAAACCAAAAGCUUUCAAAAUAUUACGUAUUUUAUCACUAACAGAUGAGAGGACAGCUUAAGUACUUUUCCCGGACAUUACCCCUUCACUACAGUCCGCAUUUCUGUGUCCAGAUUGUAACAAAACAAGUGCAUGGCAAUGUCAAGGUAAGUUUACCCUUACUAAAAAUAAGUGCCGUCAGUGUACAGUAUAACUGAAGAACGCUGUAGUAUAAUUGUAGUUAGAGUGUAGUGUACUGCAAAUACUCCGUCCAAAAUAACACUUUAUUUUUUAAAUUUUACUUUAGUAAUUUUCAAAUCAAAUUUUAUUGGUCACGUGUUUAUCAUAUGUUAUUGCAGGUGUAGCGAAAUGCUUGUUUAUAGCUCCCAACAGUGCAGUAAUAUCCAAAAAGUAAUACCUAACAAUUUCACAACAAAUACCCAAUACAGACAAAUCUAAGUAAAGGCAUGGAAUUAAGAAUAUAUAAAUAUUCUUAUAGACUAAGAUACAGUAGAAUAUAAUAGAAUACAGUAUAUAUAGAUGAGUAAUGCAAAAUAUGUAUUAUUAAAUAACAUUAUUAAAGGAGGGCAUGUAGUUUGCCCUCCCGGUGAUGCGUUGGGCAGAUCGUACCACCCUCUGUUGGUGAGACCUCAUCUCAUUGGUCCAGGAGGUGGGCUUCAGCACUCCUCACCUCAUCUCAGCCAGUCACAUCGAGGUCCACAACUGCGAGCUCAAAAGAAAGCUGGUACAUGCAUCUCCAUUACUGUCUUAAGGCUGCUUACUAUAGGAUGGAAACAGUAUGCAGUUCUUACGUUAACCUAACUUCACUAAUAACACAUUUAUUCAUGUCGUCUAGAAACAGUUAGUAUAAAAAAUGUAAGCCUAGUUGUGGCGGUCAUAGCAUUUUGUCAGCCGGUGAUUGUCAAGCAAAUAACUGCCGGUCUCACGGUAAUUGACCAUUAAUUAACAGCUGAAUUAAAUAGGAAAUAUAUUUUCUACAAAUGAUUUGAGGGAGGACGCACAUGCGGCUAUUCUGUGUUGAGCGGUUAACAGAGAAAUGGGUACUCCUAUGCUUCAUUUAGAGUUAUUAAUGUAACUUUAGUUGUGAUACAAAUGUUGGGCUAUAUGUUUAGAUUUUUAAUACAUUGUAAGGCUGCAUGAUGCGACUCUAAUGAUGAUUUGUAAAAAGUUAGAUGAAAGGCAUGAGCUCUGCUUUGUUUUUUUGUGCAGACUGUACACACUUCAUCAGUCUCUCAUUCACAAUCUGACAAGCACUUGACAAUGCCUCAAAUUACCUGGCUGUAUCACCUUUGUGUGGCCUUAAUCCCCCCCUGCAAAAAUCCAUCCCUUUUGUGCCCUUGGGCUGAAUAUAAUAAUUAUGAUCCCCUUCUCCCCGCUGCAUGCCGAAGCACCUCUCACUCACAUGGCUCUCAGUCACGUGAUCAGGUCUUUCUUACAGGCUACAAGUGAAGACAGACACAUCGGGGAGGCAACUGCGUGCAUCCUUAUCCAAUUCCGAGGCGCAUAUUGAAGAUUUUGGAAGAACUGUCCACAUUUACUUUUUGUCAGCCAACAAGAUGAGUAGGCCUAACGAAAAGCAAAAGCACUAGCCUAUGUCAAUCUACUGUCCCAAAUUAAUACAACCACAAGCAUUCAACAAACUGUUUUAAGCUGUGAGCCUGAUGCAACAGAUGAGAACGGUUAGCUUAAAAUGUUGAUAAACUAUUAGGCAAUUUCUUCACAUUAUAAGUUCAGCAAUGCGCACACAGCAGUAUUACCAGGAAAACACCAUUCUCAAAAGGGACCACAAAUGAGAUUAUGCAUGUAAUGCUUUUAUUAUAAAGGAGCAUUCUUAUCUUCCCCAAACAUGAAACUCACAUGCUGCGUAUGCAUGUCAGGCUCUACACCCUUUGUAAAUCGGAUUAAUUUUAAGAAGUUAUUUUGCCACUUUAGUUGUGAUACAAACCUUCUAGACCUAUGGGCUAGGCUACAUGAGGUGUGAUACAAACCUUAUCAAAACAUAUAGACCUAUGGGCUAGGCUACAUGAGGUGUGUGACUGAUUAGAAAAAGUUGCAAAAAAAAAGCAUGCACUGUUUGCCUUAAGCUGGCCAUCAUUCACAAGCCGUAAUAUAUCAUUCACAGGUGAUAGGCUAAUAUUGUCACCCAUCAGACUAUUUUUGAUUUAAACGUAACAUAUUCUAAAUAAUAUACAGUACCAGUCAAAAGUUUGGACACCUACUCAUUCCAGGGUUUGCCUUGAUUACAGCUUUGCACACUCUUGGCAUUCUCUCAACCAGCUUCAUGAGGUAGUCACCUGGAAUGCAUUUCAAUUAACAGGUGUGUCAUGUUAAGUUAAUUUGUGGAAUUUCUUUCCUUCUUAUUGCGUUUGAGCCAAUCAGUUGAGUUGUGACAAGGUAGGGGUGGUAUACAGAAGAUAACCCUAUUUGGUAAAAGACCAAGUCCAUAUUAUGGUAAGAACAGCUCAAAUAAGCAAAGAGAAACGACAGUCCAUCAUUACUUUAAGACAUGAAGGUCAGUCAAUACGGAAAAUUUCAAGAACUUUGAAAGUUUCUUCAAGUGCAGUCGGAAAACCAUCAAACACUAUGAUGAAACUGGCUCUCAUGAGGACCGCCUUAGGAAAGGAAGACCCAGAGUUACCUCUGUUGCAGAGAAUAAGUUCAUUAGAGUUACCAGCCUUAGAUAUUGCAGCCCAAAUAAAUGCUUCACAGAGUUCAAGUAACACACAUCUCAACGUCAACUGUUCAGAGGAAAAGGCGUGAAUCAGGCUUUCACGGUCGAAUUGCUGCAAAGAAGCCACUACUAAAGGACACCAAUAAUAAGAAGAGACUUGCUUGGGCCAAGAAACACAAGCAAUGGACAUUAGAAAUGUGAUAUUUUUGGUUACAACCACUGUGUCAUGUGAGAUGCAGAGUAGGUGAUCGGAUGAUCUCUCCAUGUGUGGUUCCCACUGUGAAUUAAGGAGGAGGUGUGACAGGUGAUUUAUUUAGAAUUCAAGGCACACUUAACCAGCAUGGCUACCAAAGCAUUCUGCAGCUAUAUGCAAUCCUAUCUGGUUUGCACUUAGUGCGACUAUCAUUUGUUUUUCAACAGGACAAUGACCCAACAUACCUCCAGGCUGUGUAAGGGCUAUUUGACCAAGAAGGAGAGUGAUGGAGUGCUGUAUCAGUUGAGAUAGUUUGGGAUGAGUUGGACCGCAGAGUGAAGGAAAAACAGCCAACAAGUGCUCAGCAUAUGUGGGAACUCCUUCAAGACGGUUGGAAAAGUAUUCCAGGUGAAGCUGGUUGAGAGAAUGCAUUGAGUGUGCAUGAUUCCAUAUGUGUUAUUUCAUAGUUGAUGUCUUCACCAUUAUUCUACAGUGUAGAACAUAGUAAAAAUAAAGAAAAAUCCUUGAAUGAGUAGGUGUGUCUAAACCUUUGACUGGUACUGCAUGUGUGAAAUUUGACCAUUAUCAUGCUCCUGUCUCAAAACAGGGGCAGAGAGAAUAAAAUACAUGACUGCACUUAAAUUGCGAAUGGAGGAUGUUUUUCCCAUGUUUCAUUUUGAUGCCAGCCAGGUAAGCAAAACUCCUGUUUCAAAGAUAAGCAAUGUGCUUAAAAUUUGGAAGGUUGAGAAAUAAAUAUAGUUGGCCUAGCCUAUCGAAAGCUGAUUGGAUCCUCAGUUUUCUCACGCAAUUGCAUAGCCUAAAUAAAUGUUGCGCAACAUGAGCUCAUGGGCUCUCAUGAAGUGUUUUGAUUAGAAUUUCGAUGACAUUUGCAGUGAUGUCAGAGUGAUUAGAGGGACAAUAGUGUGGAGUACCAGGCAGUUAGCACGUUUGGUAGGCUAGUAAUGACCAUCAGCAGCAUCAGAGCUUAGAGAAGCCUAAUUACCGUGACUAAACGGUCACAUGGAAUUGAACUGCAAUCAUGACUCAUGAACGCCGGUGUGGCAGUAAUGUGGUCACCUUUACAGCCCUAAUCCUAGGCAGUCACGUCCAUUUCCAAUGUGUUGCAGGUGAUAUUAGCUAUGCAUCUGGCACUUACCGGCUCUUCAAAUUGCCCAAAAAGCUUGAGAUGUCAAUCGCAAUAGUGACCUACAAGGGAAGUGUGUCUGACUACCCUUGUCAGCUGUAGUUUGACUCCUCCCACUGCUUCAAGGUAUGUUAGUGCAAACACGGCAGGGCUCUCCAACCCUGUUCCCGGAGAGCUACCGUCCAUAGGUUUUCACUCCAACCCCAAUCUAGCGCACCUGAUACUAAUAAUUAGCUUGUUGAUAAACUGAAUCAGGUUAGUUACAACAGGGGUUGGAGUGAAAACCUACACGAGGGAAGCUCUUCAGGAACAGGUUCACCAAAGCAUUUUUCAUGAAGGCAACAUUGGUUGUUUCUGUUUAUAUAGCAAAGUCAUUUUGUUCCCAAGUGUUUUACUUGUGUAUUCAUAUUGCGACACACAUUUCUAAAAAUGGAUUCCACACUACAUUAGGUCAAUGCACAAAUUGUGUGGGUUGUCUGAUAUGCUAAAUGUAUAAUCCCUUUGAUGUUUACUUUGUGUUGUGCAGAAAAACGCUGCAGGUCGACGGGGUUAUCUUCCAGUGCUCUCUCUUCUCCCCAGACUUCUGCAUCCAGAAGUAUGGCCACCUCAGCCCUUUCUUGCUGUGCUGCUCGGUGAAUCAAUGCUCCAAGACAGGCAAAGCCCCAGUAGCCUGUGGAGAGACCUAACUUAACGACACCACAUCCAUGAUGGAACCUCCUUAGAGAGCCGGGGUGUAUGGCCCAAUAAUCUUGCCUUCCUGCUGAAGUGUGCAUUCACUACUUCCCACAAAUCUAAAAGCAUUGGAUUGUUGUUUGCCUGGGAUAUUGGGAGUUUCCAUAUUUAUAGUGAUAAUUCCCAAGAAGCCGGUGUUUGUUGGAUAUGUUGGCAUGGUGUUGUUAGGCCCGAGACCAAAUCGAGGACUGGCAAACCAUGCCAAUAUAUCCAACAAACACCAGCUUCGAGGGCAUUAUCACUUGUACACGGGUUACCAACAUAUUCAAAUAAUGAUCGACAUUUUCAUUAAAAACGUUAUUUUUAUACAUUUAUUUGUACAAUUUCAUCCUUCC
ensembl:lncRNA